UGGGGAAUUUUGGACAAUGGGCGCAAGCCUGAUCCAGCUAUUCCGCGUGUGGGAUGACGGCCCUCGGGUUGUAAACCACUUUAGUAGAGAACGAAAAGGGAGCUAUCGAAUAAAUAGCUCUGCUGACGGUACUCUAAGAAUAAGCACCGGCUAACUACGUGCC
rnacentral:rRNA from 1 species